UAGUCUCCACACUACUACCAGGUCU
rnacentral:piRNA from 1 species